AACAACCAAAAACCAAACCAGGAGAGGAAACAAAAGUGGGAGAAUCGAACAGUUAAAAAAACCCACGGCAAACCAAACGAGCCAUCUGCAGAGAAGGGGAACAGUUAAAGACCUUGGUUAGUAGAGAAGAAAACAACAAAAGAACUGGACCAAGAAAGCAAAGACUUAAAAAUGGCUGACAUUCCGAAGAUGAGACAGAAAGAAGAGUGGACCAUCAUCAGAACAGGGGAAAGAAAACCUUGCCCUC